UAAGCCAAUUCUUCUCAAACUUCGGAACCUGUAACGAUUGGUCUACAGAAAUUCCUUCAACAUGAUUAGGAUCAUCUAAUACAUAUUGACAAUGCACUUGUUGGCCGGAAGGUAGGGAACCAGUACUACUCUUCUUGAGGGUAUCCUCUUCAACAGCUUUGUCAUUGUAAGAAGCCAACACCUUCCCCAAUCCUCGAAGCACUCGAGUAAAAGCAACCGGAUUGAGUUGUUGAACAAAUUCGUUCAGUUCGUCAACGUGAUCGGGACUCGUAGUAAAGACUAACAUGAAGAGCAAACAAAUAUUUCUAUAUGUACUGGGAAAAGAACAUAUAUAUAAUGGAAAAUGAAAGAAAAAUAAUUAGA